CCUACGGGGCGCAGCAGUGAGGAAUAUUGGUCAAUGGGAGAGAUCCUGAACCAGCCAAGCCGCGUGAGGGAAGACGGCCCUAUGGGUUGUAAACCUCUUUUGUCGGAGAACAAAACCCGGGACGAGUCCCGGACUGCGUGUAUCCGAAGAAAAAGCAUCGGCUAACUCCGUGCCAGCAGCCGCGGUAAUACGUAGGGAGCGAGCGUUGUCCGGAAUUACUGGGUGUAAAGGGAGCGUAGGCGGGACGGCAAGUCAGAUGUGAAAACUGAGGGCUCAACCUUCAGACUGCAUUUGAAACUGCUGUU
rnacentral:rRNA from 1 species